GGUUAAGCGACUAAGCGUACACGGUGGAUGCCCUGGCAGUCAGAGGCGAUGAAGGACGUGCUAAUCUGCGAAAAGCGUCGGUAAGGUGAUAUGAACCGUUAUAACCGGCGAUGUCCGAAUGGGGAAACCCAGUGCAAUUCGUUGCACUAUCGUUAACUGAAUACAUAGGUUAACGAGGCGAACCGGGGGAACUGAAACAUCUAAGUACCCCGAGGAAAAGAAAUCAACCGAGAUUCCCCCAGUAGCGGCGAGCGAACGGGGAGCAGCCCAGAGUCUGAAUCAGCUUGUGUGUUAGUGGAACGGUCUGGAAAGUCCGACGGUACAGGGUGAUAGUCCCGUACACCAAAAUGCACAGGCUGUGAACUCGAAGAGUAGGGCGGGACACGUGGUAUCCUGUCUGAAUAUGGGGGGACCAUCCUCCAAGGCUAAAUACUCCUGACUGACCGAUAGUGAACCAGUACCGUGAGGGAAAGGCGAAAAGAACCCCGGCGAGGGGAGUGAAAAAGAACCUGAAACCGUGUACGUACAAGCAGUGGGAGCACCUUCGGGUGUGACUGCGUACCUUUUGUAUAAUGGGUCAGCGACUUAUAUUCUGUAGCAAGGUUAACCGUAUAGGGGAGCCGCAGGGAAACCGAGUCUUAACUGGGCGUUAAGUUGCAGGGUAUAGACCCGAAACCCGGUGAUCUAGCCAUGGGCAGGUUGAAGGUUGGGUAACACUAACUGGAGGACCGAACCGACUAAUGUUGAAAAAUUAGCGGAUGACUUGUGGCUGGGGGUGAAAGGCCAAUCAAACCGGGAGAUAGCUGGUUCUCCCCGAAAGCUAUUUAGGUAGCGCCUCGUGAACUCAUCUUCGGGGGUAGAGCACUGUUUCGGCUAGGGGGUCAUCCCGACUUACCAACCCGAUGCAAACUACGAAUACCGAAGAAUGUUAUCACGGGAGACACACGGCGGGUGCUAACGUCCGUCGUGAAGAGGGAAACAACCCAGACCGCCAGCUAAGGUCCCAAAGUCAUGGUUAAGUGGGAAACGAUGUGGGAAGGCACAGACAGCCAGGAUGUUGGCUUAGAAGCAGCCAUCAUUUAAAGAAAGCGUAAUAGCUCACUGGUCGAGUCGGCCUGCGCGGAAGAUGUAACGGGGCUAAACCAUGCACCGAAGCUGCGGCAGCGACACUAUGUGUUGUUGGGUAGGGGAGCGUUCUGUAAGCCUGCGAAGGUGUGCUGUGAGGCAUGCUGGAGGUAUCAGAAGUGCGAAUGCUGACAUAAGUAACGAUAAAGCGGGUGAAAAGCCCGCUCGCCGGAAGACCAAGGGUUCCUGUCCAACGUUAAUCGGGGCAGGGUGAGUCGACCCCUAAGGCGAGGCCGAAAGGCGUAGUCGAUGGGAAACAGGUUAAUAUUCCUGUACUUGGUGUUACUGCGAAGGGGGGACGGAGAAGGCUAUGUUAGCCGGGCGACGGUUGUCCCGGUUUAAGCAUGUAGGCUGGUUGUCCAGGCAAAUCCGGAUAAUCAAGGCUGAGGUGUGAUGACGAGGCACUACGGUGCUGAAGUAACAAAUGCCCUGCUUCCAGGAAAAGCCUCUAAGCAUCAGGUAACAUCAAAUCGUACCCCAAACCGACACAGGUGGUCAGGUAGAGAAUACCAAGGCGCUUGAGAGAACUCGGGUGAAGGAACUAGGCAAAAUGGUGCCGUAACUUCGGGAGAAGGCACGCUGGUGUGUAGGUGAAGUCCCUGCGGAUGGAGCUGAGACCAGUCGAAGAUACCAGCUGGCUGCAACUGUUUAUUAAAAACACAGCACUGUGCAAACACGAAAGUGGACGUAUACGGUGUGACGCCUGCCCGGUGCCGGAAGGUUAAUUGAUGGGGUUAUCCGUAAGGAGAAGCUCUUGAUCGAAGCCCCGGUAAACGGCGGCCGUAACUAUAACGGUCCUAAGGUAGCGAAAUUCCUUGUCGGGUAAGUUCCGACCUGCACGAAUGGCGUAAUGAUGGCCAGGCUGUCUCCACCCGAGACUCAGUGAAAUUGAACUCGCUGUGAAGAUGCAGUGUACCCGCGGCAAGACGGAAAGACCCCGUGAACCUUUACUAUAGCUUGACACUGAACAUUGAGCCUUGAUGUGUAGGAUAGGUGGGAGGCUUUGAAGCGUGGACGCCAGUCUGCGUGGAGCCAACCUUGAAAUACCACCCUUUAAUGUUUGAUGUUCUAACGUUGGCCCCUGACCGGGGUUGCGGACAGUGUCUGGUGGGUAGUUUGACUGGGGCGGUCUCCUCCCAAAGCGUAACGGAGGAGCACGAAGGUUAGCUAAUCCUGGUCGGACAUCAGGAGGUUAGUGCAAUGGCAUAAGCUAGCUUGACUGCGAGCGUGACGGCGCGAGCAGGUGCGAAAGCAGGUCAUAGUGAUCCGGUGGUUCUGAAUGGAAGGGCCAUCGCUCAACGGAUAAAAGGUACUCCGGGGAUAACAGGCUGAUACCGCCCAAGAGUUCAUAUCGACGGCGGUGUUUGGCACCUCGAUGUCGGCUCAUCACAUCCUGGGGCUGAAGUAGGUCCCAAGGGUAUGGCUGUUCGCCAUUUAAAGUGGUACGCGAGCUGGGUUUAGAACGUCGUGAGACAGUUCGGUCCCUAUCUGCCGUGGGCGCUGGAGAAUUGAGGGGGGCUGCUCCUAGUACGAGAGGACCGGAGUGGACGCAUCACUGGUGUUCGGGUUGUCAUGCCAAUGGCACUGCCCGGUAGCUAAAUGCGGAAGAGAUAAGUGCUGAAAGCAUCUAAGCACGAAACUUGCCCCGAGAUGAGUUCUCCCUGAGACUUUAAGUCUCCUGAAGGAACGUUAAAGACGAUGACGUUGAUAGGCCGGGUGUGUAAGCGCAGCGAUGCGUUGAGCUAACCGGUACUAAUGAACCGUGAGGCUUAACCUU
rnacentral:rRNA from 1 species